CCUACGGGUGGCAGCAGUGGGGAAUAUUGGGCAAUGGGCGCAAGCCUGACCCAGCAACGCCGCGUGCAGGAAGAAGGCUUUCGGGUUGUAAACUUCUUUUGACAGGGAAGAGUAGAAGACGGUACCUGUCGAAUAAGCCACGGCUAACUACGUGCCAGCAGCCGCGGUAAUACGUAGGUGGCAAGCGUUAUCCGGAUUUAUUGGGGGUAAAGGGCGUGUAGGCGGGAAAGCAAGUCAGAUGUGAAAACUCAGGGCUCAACCCUGGGCCUGCAUUUGGAACUGUUUUUCUUGAGUGCUGUAGAGGCAAUCGGAAUUCCGGGUGUAGCGGUGGAAUGCGUAGAUAUACGGAGGAACACCAGUGGCGAAGGCGGAUUGCUGGACAGUAACUGACGCUGAGGCGCGAAAGCGUGGGGAGCAAACAGGAUUAGAUACCCGAGUAGUC
rnacentral:rRNA from 1 species